CUCUGGUGUUGGUGUUAAAUAAGGCUGUAAUCUUCUUCCUACUGUUUUCAACAUGUUUGUAAAUGAUAUACCUGAUUUUUUUAAAAUUAACCAGGCAUGUGAUCCAGUAAAACUUGGUAAUACAGAUUUGAACAGUUUACUUUAUGCGGACGAUUUAGUCCUGUUGUCCAAAUCGCAAACAGGUUUACAAGAGUGUCUAUCAAAACUUGAAAUAUAUACAAAGAAAUGGAAGCUCAAAAUUAAUAGGAGAAAAUGCAAAGUUUUACUUUUUGGAACGCCGACCAAAGGCGUGCAUAUUUAACGUCAGCUUGGUUAUACGAAGAAAAUCCCCUAUAGAACAGGUGGAGCUAGUAUUGUUACCUUGGAAUUACUCUUCACUUUUCCGGAAAUUUCAAACGGGUGAUACUGCUGAUCAGGUGAUACUGCUGAUACGAGCUUACAAUUUUUUAUACAAAAAAUUUUCAAAUUUUGAAAAUUUGCCAAUCAAAUUGCUUUUAAAACUUUUCUCGACUACAAUAUUCACAUUUUAUUAAAUAGAAAGAUUUCAUUUAAAAUUUUGUAAACGUAUUUUUGGAGUUCACUCAAAAACUACAAAUAUAGCAAUUUAUACUGAAUUAGGAAGGAUACCGUUAAUUGCACAAAUUUCAGUGCAAAUAUUAGUCACUAAGAGCGACUAAAGGCUGCACAAGCGUUCUGUCGUUACAGGGCCGUAGGAAGCUCUUUUCGAUUGGGGGGGCUGAAAGCGAGGGCCGAAGGCCCGAGGAAAUUUUUAAAUUUAGAGUCUCUAAAAUGCCAUUUCCUGGACUUUGGGGGAAGAUUUAACAGAAUUCUGAUAGUCAGAAAACAGCGUUUUAGUAUGUCGAAAUUUACAGGAAAGUACGGGCCAGACUGUAGUAUUAUAAAUGCGCGGCGGGAAUUUUCGUCAUAAAUGGCAGUUGCGCGGAAAUGAAGGCAGAACAUUUGAGAAAAUUUCGAAAAUCUGGAGUCUCUAGAUGGUCUGAAAUGGCAUUUUCAGAGUUUUCUUUCGCAAGACCCAACACGCAAAAGACAAAAUAAAUCAUUAGUUCAUCAAAAAUGUGCAGAUUUUUUGGGAUUUUCUUGAAAAUGCGCGACAGAAAUUCAGCUAAAAUUUCUACGCGAGGAACGAUCUGGAGUAUGAGUAAUAUCUUCAUUCUUUGCAGUUUGUCACAGAUUAAAUGAUAAAGUUUGCAUGAUUUUGAAAAAAGAAUGAUUAUUAGCAAAUUAUUGGGGGGGGCUGCAGUCCCCCCAGCCCCCCCGGUUGCUACGGCCCUGCGUUAUCGAAAAAUGUAUGGCUUAUAAGUUGUCAUUACUCAUUAGUGAAUGCGCGUAUACAUGAAACUGUUUUUACAGUUUCAAUAUUAGUUUGUAAAUCUCCGAAUGGUAAAACUUGCCAAUACUCCAAUAAUACGUUUCAAAAAAAGACAAAAAAGCUUUAGUUUAUCACGAAAUUAUUUGAAUAAACCACAUCGCAUGUAUGGGGGGCGAAUGUCCUAAAGAGGGGCGAUAUUCCUAGGGUAUUUGCCCCACCCCCCUGGGAGGCGAUAUUCCCAGGAUAUUCGCCCCCGGGGGCGAUAUUCCUAGGAAUAUCGCCACGUUUUGAGUGGGGGGGGGGGCGAAUUUCCUGGGGGGGCGACCUUUUUAAAAAUUAUAUCUUGCCCCCCCCAAAUUUGAGUUUGCCCCUCAAAUGCCCCCCCCCCCCAAAUUUGGAAGCCUGGCGCCGCCACUGACAAAUUUCUUUGCAUAUCGUUAAAUACUGGCUACACAUUAAGGAUGCAAGUUUCGAUAAAACUCUGGCUGACGAAGCUGCUCGAGUGUGUAUGGAUAUAAAUCUUGACUUCAACCAGCAAUGUUUACGGAUUAUAUAUAUUUACUGAAAGAGUGUAAAAAUGAUGUUGGAUAUGUUAGGUACUUCACAGUCCCUCGUGACACUGGGCUAUUCCAUUUAAUAUCCGUACCCCCCCUGUCGAGGAUCCCUGGAAUUCUUCAGGGGUAAAGGGUUUUGAGCUUGGAAUUCUUCAGGGGUAAAGUGUUUUGAGCUUGGAAUUCUUCAGGGGUAAAGUGUUUUGAGUUUGGAAUUCUUCAGGGGUAAAUGGUUUUGAGCUUGGAAUUCUUCAGGGGUAAAGGGUUUUGAGCUUGGAAUUCUUCAGGGGUAAAGAGGUUUGAGAUUGAAAUUUUUCAGAGCUUGGAAUUCUUCAGGGGUGAAGGGUUUUGAGCUUGGAAUUCUUCAGGGGUAAAAGGUUUUGAGCUUGAAAUUCUUCAGGGGUAAAGGGUUUUGAGCUUGGAAUUCUUUAGGGGUGAAGGGUUUUGAGCUUGGAAUUCUUCAGGGGUAAAAGGUUUUGAGCUUGGAAUUCUUCAGGGGUAAAGGGUUUUGAGCUUGGAAUUUUGGAAUUCUUCAGGGGUAAAAGGUUUUGAGCUUGGAAUUCUUCAGGGGUAAAGAGUUUUGAGCUUGGAAUUUUGGAAUUCUUCAGGGGUAUACAGUUUUGAGCUUGGAAUUCUUCAGGGGUAUGACAAUGAAAAACAUGUAUCCUCGACAGGGGGGGUACGGAUAUUAAAUGGAAUAGCCCAUUUAAUGAAUACAUUUAAUGAAGAGUCUAAGCAUUAUUAUAAAAAACAACUGAAAGAAAAGAAACUAAAAGUCUUCAGUAAAAUUAAAAUGAAUUUUGAAAUUGAAAAAUAUCUAAUAGAAAUCCAAAAUGUUAAACACCGCCAAGCUGUUACAAAAUUAAGAAUUUCUGCGCAAAGAUUACCAGUUGAAACUGGCAGAUAUAAAAGUAUUCCUUACUGAAUACUGUGAUAGAGCGUGCAGACAUUGUGAUCUGAACGAAGUUGGAGAUGAACAACAUUAUGUAAUGUCAUGCAGAAAUACAAUGUUUGCAACUUUAAGACAGGAUUUCAUAGAUGACUUAUAUAUUAAAAAAAUCAAUAAUUUUUUCAUAUAUUUUUCAAGUUAGAUGAUUUGUUUCAUUAUGUUAUGGCUAUGCAUGAUACAAGCAUUAUGAGACUGUUUUCUAAAUAUUGUUAUGAUAUUCUUACAGUUUUUGAUGAGAUACAGUUAUGUAGUUAGAUAUCAUUGUUUAUUCCUAGGCUGUAUAUGUUCAAUAUUCUUAAUAUAUCAUUAUUGGUAUUUUGAUUGGAAUAAAGUUAUUUAUUUAAACCAUCCUAAACUGAGCUACAAUAAUCAAAAUAUACGGUUGAAUUAGUGCUCCAUAAAUUUUCAGAGCAUAAAUUUUCGACAUGUCAUGCCCAUCGAUUUGCAAGCCUAAGGAUUUCGUUUCGUUGACUCUGAAAGACCUUAUGUGUUCGUAUUCAUGUAAACUUCAUGUACCAGUAAUUGUUGUCGUUACCGAGAUUCUAUUACCAUGAAUACGGAAUACCGUUUUAGCGACGUUAGGGAGUGGUCAUUAUUUAUAGGGAGGGGGGUUGGUAAAUGGGAGGGGGGGACAAACAAAGUUUUACGCUUAUAAAUACGGGGGGUCAAAAACGUUUUAACCUAGAGGAAGGGGGGGGGGCAAAAAAAGUUUUUGAACUUAAAUACCAUGUCUAGAGUUCUGAUUUCUAUAAAUAGCAUAGACUCACAAAUAGCAUAGACUCACAAUUUACAAAUAGCAUAGACUCACAAAUAAUAAUGCCAAAGAGGUAAAGAAGACUCUGAAUAUGCCAUUUCCAACAAUCUAAAGACUCAAAAUUUUCAACAUUUCCUUGCUCGGCGCCAAUUAUGGUAGCGCCUCGUGGGAGCCGGGCCCACUAAGUUUAAUUAACAAGCUUCCUACCCCCUGAGUGAUCCAGUUGUGGUGUUUACAUAAACAUACCAUGCAAGAAGUACUUAACUGAUUAGAUUCGGUCUAUCAAAGCAGAAUGUAACUCUGUAUAUCCAAAAAUCUGUUUCAGAAAAUGCUCACAUUUCAGUCCUAUGGGUGGAAAAAUACAAAAAAAGUUUCUGGGGGAGAAUACCCCCAGACCCCCCUACUUGUACAUAAGAUACCACACCAAACUUUUGGUCACCAACAACCAUCUGUCAUCUCUCCACACUCAGUAUAGUAUGGUCCUUUUUUGUAGAUGCCCACCCCCCAGACAAGGCGUAAAAAAACCCUGUGUUCAAAUCAUUUCGCUGUAUGAAGACAGGCCAUUAGUCUCCUACGCAUACCUACUUAAUUAGCGGCGGGCCCAAACCCGCUAAAGUAGGUCUGCAUAGGAGACUAACAGUCCAUGGGUUAGGAUUAUGGUAUGAGGACAAAUGUUGCAUUGCAAAGUAGUAAACACAUAAUAUAUAUUUUAAAUCGCAUAUGGUUGAAUCAUAUUCACCAGGGUAAAACAUCAUGGGCUAGAUUAAACAGAUUGUCCUAAUAUCUAACUUUACCUGCAACACACACCUGUUUCAUUGCUGUUAAUUUUUCAAUCCACACUGG